UGUUGCACGUGUUGAAAAUAGUAUACCCGAACUCAUAGAAGACUGGGAAGGUGAAAUCCAAGAGGUCAAAAUCAGUAACUGGGAAGAGAUGUGUUUUGGGACGGAACCAUAUGGUCCAGAGGAUGUGCUUCACUUCAGUCUACGUGACCUGAGCUUGGGAAAAAACAGCUCCUCUUUGUGGCAACUGAUCAGCAACAAGUACCUCCCAGCCACGCACCACCGGCCGCCCAUAGACUGGUUCAGGUACAAACGCUGCACUGAACCGGGCCAGUUCUCUGAUGCAGAAGACUGAUAUCUGACUCAUAUCUAUUUACAAAUUUAGUGACCUUCUUAUGGAUUCUCAGUUUGGUUUCUUAUCAAUUGUGUAGAUACUAGAUUUUGCUAAAGGUCAAAGUAGUAUGUUGUUAUUAGAUCGUUUUUAUCACAGGUUUUAUUAUUAUUUAUAUUUCCUGUAUAAACUCGCAUUAUAAUUCAACUCUGAUUUCAGUUCUAGUUGCUUUGCUCUUUGUUACUACUGUUUAGGAUUACACACUUCUUGUUAGACUAGUAUUUCAGAAGUAGUUUUAUCCAAGAGUUAUUUUAAUUUGACAAUCACCGAACCACCGUCGUAAACAAAACGCUGCACUAUUGUUUGAAUCAAGAGCUAAAAUCGUAACUUUCCUGUUUACAAACUCUUUCAUUUCUGCAUCUACAAUAAAUCAAUUUUCUUCCCAUCUCAAAA